rnacentral:lncRNA from 1 species
UUUUAAAUUUUUUUAUUUUUUUAAUUUAAUUAUUGGUGACUUUGCAGCCAUUUUAUUAAUAAUUAAUAAAAAAUAACAAAAAGUUGUCUAUCCCAAUGACAAAAAGAAAGCAAAGCUUGAAAAAUAUUGCAGGUCAAUCCCAAUUUCCUAUUUGACCUAGCUAAAAAUUUUUUAAGGACUUUAAGUUAUUACCGUUUCCAUCUUUGGGCGCCUCUCCUCCUUUGUCAUGCUUUGAAUCUACUGCCUUCUCAAUUCCAAGCUGAUUCAAAUCCUAUUGUAGAUGAUCAAUAUUGUUCCAUCCUUGUGUUAUGUCUUUCUUUCAUAAAAACUGUUGUCAAAAAACUACGGUAAUAUUUGUAGAGAUUUAUCUUUAACCCUAUCCAUUUUUCAAACUCUAUCAAGUUUCAGGUGGUUGGGUUGACUCUGUGGUGAAGGAAAAGGAGGAAACUUCCAAGGUUUGCAUCUAAUUCAUACAUAACCCUUCUUUUUUCCUUUAACACAUUGAAUCAAAUCUGAGAAUCUUUCAUUUCUUUUUCUGUUAGACAUGCAUUGAAAAUGAUUGAUCCAUUGCAGAUAUAGGC